AGAUAGUGCUUUAUUCUAAGUAUGUUAUAAACAUUGGUCUAUAUAUCAUACGUUUAUCAUUUCCUUUCAAUAUAAGUGAAAGCUUACCAUUUAUUUUGUGUGUUGCUAAGUUCAAAUAUAACAAGUUUUUGCUCACAACAACUUCUUUUUUUCAUGUUCUAUCUACUUGUUGGUUUAUCCUAUGAUGAAGAACGACUAGUGAGAUAAAAGAUGUUGAUGAAACGGGUUGAAGUGUCUCGAUGAUGUUGUUGACAGAAGAUAGAGAGCACAGAUGACGAAGUUGCAGCUAAUAUUUGGCAUCUUUUUUCUUUGUGCCCUCUAUUGUUCUGUCAUCAUCACAUAUCUUCUUCCUCUAUUUCAUCUUUUAUCAAGAAUCGUUCUGAGCAUGUUGUUCUUCAACCAAAGGUGUAGCUAUAAUCUUCAAUCAUACAAGGUCGAAAGGAAGUUUGGGUUUCGUCGGGUUUAGUCUGAAAUUGAACAAGGGAGGGUUUUUAGAUCAAGGACCGCACCGAAUUUGUGUGUUUUGGGUUGGUCUUGGGAAGGUCCGGGUCAGUUCAUCGGUUUUCUUGGGUCAACCCACAAGAUGCUCAACCCUACACAAACACGUCUAGCUAAAUGGAGUCACAUUAUACAUUGUGUGUGGGUUUCAGCGUUUGUUCUUAUUAAGUGCUAUUUCAUGUCAAAACUUAAAAAAAUGGUUAUUUUACGUAAAAAAUUUUAAAUAACUGGUUAUUUACACCAAACCUAAAAUGUUAAAUAUGAAACGUGCAUUCAAAUAUUCAAUUGUCUAGUUUAAACACAAUUCUUAAUCUACAUGUAUUUUUUAGUGUAUAAUUUAAUUUUAGUAUGUAUAUGUAUAUGUAUAUAUAUAGAGAGAGAAACGAGAUCAGGAGAAAACGCUCAAAAGUGUGAGAACGGUGAGAACGGAUUCUGGCGUAACACGUGUCACUCGGCUUAGUGAAGGGCGCGGGGGGGGGGGGGGGGUUGUCAUUUUAUAUUCUUUUUUUAAACGCGUGUCACAUCACAUUUCCAUUUUCUGGCGUUUAAAAAAUAUGCGGCGUUUUUAUUGCUUUUAGAUCAGGAUCAUAGUAAAUAUUUUGGCGUUUUAACUAAGUAUGGCUUUGAUUGUUGUGCCAAGUAGGAUGCAGGCCUAUAAUGUAAAAAACAUCAGUAAUUUUCUUGAUGUUCAUUUUUUUCUAUCAAGUGUUGUGUCAUGUAGGAUGCAGGCCUAUAAUGUGACAGACAAUUAUGGCGUUUUGAAAAAAUAAACAAAUUCAAUUUUCCA